rnacentral:rRNA from 1 species
GGUUAAGCGACUAAGCGUACACGGUGGAUGCCCUGGCAGUCAGAGGCGAUGAAGGACGUGCUAAUCUGCGAAAAGCGUCGGUAAGGUGAUAUGAACCGUUAUAGCCGGCGAUGUCCGAAUGGGGAAACCCAGUGCAAUUCGUUGCACUAUCGUUAACUGAAUACAUAGGUUAACGAGGCGAACCGGGGGAACUGAAACAUCUAAGUACCCCGAGGAAAAGAAAUCAACCGAGAUUCCCCCAGUAGCGGCGAGCGAACGGGGAGCAGCCCAGAGUCUGAAUCAGCUUGUGUGUUAGUGGAACGGUCUGGAAAGUCCGACGGUACAGGGUGAUAGUCCCGUACACCAAAAUGCACAGGCUGUGAACUCGAAGAGUAGGGCGGGACACGUGGUAUCCUGUCUGAAUAUGGGGGGACCAUCCUCCAAGGCUAAAUACUCCUGACUGACCGAUAGUGAACCAGUACCGUGAGGGAAAGGCGAAAAGAACCCCGGCGAGGGGAGUGAAAAAGAACCUGAAACCGUGUACGUACAAGCAGUGGGAGCACCUUCGGGUGUGACUGCGUACCUUUUGUAUAAUGGGUCAGCGACUUAUAUUCUGUAGCAAGGUUAACCGUAUAGGGGAGCCGCAGGGAAACCGAGUCUUAACUGGGCGUUAAGUUGCAGGGUAUAGACCCGAAACCCGGUGAUCUAGCCAUGGGCAGGUUGAAGGUUGGGUAACACUAACUGGAGGACCGAACCGACUAAUGUUGAAAAAUUAGCGGAUGACUUGUGGCUGGGGGUGAAAGGCCAAUCAAACCGGGAGAUAGCUGGUUCUCCCCGAAAGCUAUUUAGGUAGCGCCUCGUGAACUCAUCUUCGGGGGUAGAGCACUGUUUCGGCUAGGGGGUCAUCCCGACUUACCAACCCGAUGCAAACUACGAAUACCGAAGAAUGUUAUCACGGGAGACACACGGCGGGUGCUAACGUCCGUCGUGAAGAGGGAAACAACCCAGACCGCCAGCUAAGGUCCCAAAGUCAUGGUUAAGUGGGAAACGAUGUGGGAAGGCACAGACAGCCAGGAUGUUGGCUUAGAAGCAGCCAUCAUUUAAAGAAAGCGUAAUAGCUCACUGGUCGAGUCGGCCUGCGCGGAAGAUGUAACGGGGCUAAACCAUGCACCGAAGCUGCGGCAGCGACACUAUGUGUUGUUGGGUAGGGGAGCGUUCUGUAAGCCUGCGAAGGUGACCUGUGAGGGUUGCUGGAGGUAUCAGAAGUGCGAAUGCUGACAUAAGUAACGAUAAAGCGGGUGAAAAGCCCGCUCGCCGGAAGACCAAGGGUUCCUGUCCAACGUUAAUCGGGGCAGGGUGAGUCGACCCCUAAGGCGAGGCCGAAAGGCGUAGUCGAUGGGAAACAGGUUAAUAUUCCUGUACUUGGUGUUACUGCGAAGGGGGGACGGAGAAGGCUAUGUUAGCCGGGCGACGGUUGUCCCGGUUUAAGCAUGUAGGCUGGUUAUCCAGGCAAAUCCGGAUAAUCAAGGCUGAGGUGUGAUGACGAGGCACUACGGUGCUGAAGUAACAAAUGCCCUGCUUCCAGGAAAAGCCUCUAAGCAUCAGGUAACAUCAAAUCGUACCCCAAACCGACACAGGUGGUCAGGUAGAGAAUACCAAGGCGCUUGAGAGAACUCGGGUGAAGGAACUAGGCAAAAUGGUGCCGUAACUUCGGGAGAAGGCACGCUGGUGUGUAGGUGAAGUCCCUGCGGAUGGAGCUGAGACCAGUCGAAGAUACCAGCUGGCUGCAACUGUUUAUUAAAAACACAGCACUGUGCAAACACGAAAGUGGACGUAUACGGUGUGACGCCUGCCCGGUGCCGGAAGGUUAAUUGAUGGGGUUAUCCGUAAGGAGAAGCUCUUGAUCGAAGCCCCGGUAAACGGCGGCCGUAACUAUAACGGUCCUAAGGUAGCGAAAUUCCUUGUCGGGUAAGUUCCGACCUGCACGAAUGGCGUAAUGAUGGCCAGGCUGUCUCCACCCGAGACUCAGUGAAAUUGAACUCGCUGUGAAGAUGCAGUGUACCCGCGGCAAGACGGAAAGACCCCGUGAACCUUUACUAUAGCUUGACACUGAACAUUGAGCCUUGAUGUGUAGGAUAGGUGGGAGGCUUUGAAGCGUGGACGCCAGUCUGCGUGGAGCCAACCUUGAAAUACCACCCUUUAAUGUUUGAUGUUCUAACGUGGGCCCCUAAUCGGGGUUGCGGACAGUGUCUGGUGGGUAGUUUGACUGGGGCGGUCUCCUCCCAAAGCGUAACGGAGGAGCACGAAGGUUAGCUAAUCCUGGUCGGACAUCAGGAGGUUAGUGCAAUGGCAUAAGCUAGCUUGACUGCGAGCGUGACGGCGCGAGCAGGUGCGAAAGCAGGUCAUAGUGAUCCGGUGGUUCUGAAUGGAAGGGCCAUCGCUCAACGGAUAAAAGGUACUCCGGGGAUAACAGGCUGAUACCGCCCAAGAGUUCAUAUCGACGGCGGUGUUUGGCACCUCGAUGUCGGCUCAUCACAUCCUGGGGCUGAAGUAGGUCCCAAGGGUAUGGCUGUUCGCCAUUUAAAGUGGUACGCGAGCUGGGUUUAGAACGUCGUGAGACAGUUCGGUCCCUAUCUGCCGUGGGCGCUGGAGAAUUGAGGGGGGCUGCUCCUAGUACGAGAGGACCGGAGUGGACGCAUCACUGGUGUUCGGGUUGUCAUGCCAAUGGCACUGCCCGGUAGCUAAAUGCGGAAGAGAUAAGUGCUGAAAGCAUCUAAGCACGAAACUUGCCCCGAGAUGAGUUCUCCCUGAGACUUUAAGUCUCCUGAAGGAACGUUGAAGACGACGACGUUGAUAGGCCGGGUGUGUAAGCGCAGCGAUGCGUUGAGCUAACCGGUACUAAUGAACCGUGAGGCUUAACCUU